AGAAGAGACCGUUAGACCUUUUCUCCAUAUUUGUAUUCCACCCAGGUGCCUUAUUUAGUUACAUCUUCCAUUUUUGUUGAGGGAGAGGUUCUGGUGUACCUACAAGGACACAUACCAUCAUAUGCCAUUAGAUACAGCUUCAUUAACUGCCUCUUGAAGACCUCCAUCAGCCCCAAAUCCAGUUCCUCCAGGUCUCUCUGGAACAUCAACAUCAUCUUCCAAGCCAUUGUAGAAUUCUUCAAUCUCACUUUCAUCCUCCAGUGGUUCUUCUAAACUUGGACUCUGGCAUGUGCCACUAUCACUGUUACUUCCACAAGAACUAGAGGAUAAGACAUCAUCUUCAGAGUCUGAAUAUACCUCAGCGCCAUGGAAAAUAUAACGAUUUGGUGGUAAAAACAGAUACUGAUUACCUGAAAUAUGGUAGUAAAAGGGAAAUGUUAGUAAUCAAACUUCUAAGACUAUUUGGUAGCCUAGAAUUAAGAGUAGGUUUCAGCUUUGCCUUUUUUACAAGUGUCACUACUACAGACUAUUACUAUUAAUAGUGUUUUGUUAAAAACAAGCUGUAAACUUAGUAGUCCUGGGUGCAAAUCUUAGUUUGCUACUUGUUUAAAAUUAAGUAUCCAGCCCCGCCUACAUUAGCUACCCAAUUCAUUUUACUGAAG